GAUUAACGCUGGCGGCGUGCCUAACACAUGCAAGUCGAGCGGCAGCGCGUUUUACACUGAAUUCUGGAAGCUUCUAGUUGAAAGAGAAGAUUUAUUCAAGAAUUUUGUGUAAAAUGUCGGCGAGCGGCGGACGGCUGAGUAACGCGUGGGAACGUACCCCAAAGUGAGGGAUAACGCAUCGAAAGGUGUGCUAAUACCGCAUAUGGUCUUCGGAUUAAAGCCUUCGGGCGCUUUGGGAACGGCCUGCGUAAGAUUAGAUAGUUGGUGGGGUAAUGGCCUACCAAGUCGACGUUCUUUACCUGGUAUGAGAGGAUGAUCAGUCAGACUGGAACUGAGACACGGUCCAGACUCCUACGGGAGGCAGCAGUGAGGAAUCUUCCACAAUGGGCGAAAGCCUGAUGGAGCAACGCCGCGUGCAGGAUGAAGGCCUUCGGGUUGUAAACUGCUUUUAUAAGUGAGGAUUAUGACAGUAACUUAUGAAUAAGGAUCGGCUAACUACGUG
rnacentral:rRNA from 1 species